rnacentral:rRNA from 1 species
UACGGGGGGAGCAAGCGUUGUUCGGAUUUACUGGGCGUAAAGGGCGCGUAGGCGGUCAGCACAAGUCAGUUGUGAAAUCUCCGGGCUUAACCCGGAAAGGUCAACUGAUACUGUGCGACUAGAGUGCGGAAGGGGCAACUGGAAUUCUCGGUGUAGCGGUGAAAUGCGUAGAUAUCAGGAAGAACACCCGUGGCUAAGGCGGCUCUCUAGUACGGUACUGACGCUGAGACGCGAAAGCGUGGGGAGCGAACAGG